CCUACGGGACGCAGCAGUGGGGAAUAUUGCACAAUGGGGGAAACCCUGAUGCAGCGACGCCGCGUGAGUGAAGAAGUAUUUCGGUAUGUAAAGCUCUAUCAGCAGGGAAGAAAAUGACGGUACCUGACUAAGAAGCCCCGGCUAACUACGUGCCAGCAGCCGCGGUAAUACGUAGGGGGCAAGCGUUAUCCGGAUUUACUGGGUGUAAAGGGAGCGUAGACGGCCAGACAAGUCAGAAGUGAAAGCCCAGGGCUCAACCCUGGGACUGCUUUUGGAACUGUGUAGCUGGAGUGUCGGAGAGGCAG
rnacentral:rRNA from 1 species